rnacentral:tRNA from 1 species
UCCCUGGUGGUCCAGUGGUUAGGGCUCCGCACUUCCACUGCAGGGGGCGCGGGUUCAGUCCCUGGUCAGGGAA